UCACCUCCUAUCAUUAGACUCCGCCCACCUGCACACAAGGCUCUCCUCAUCAGGCCCUGUGCACCCACAUUUUAACUACAUCUCUCUCUCCUCUUCUCUUGCUUGUGUCUCCUUAUGGGUUAACCAGUCACCUUCUUUAUUGAUUCCCAUCAUUUCGGGGGCCUGCCAUUAUCUCUUGCUUUCGGUUUAUUUCUCAGACCCAACUCGUGUCUUAAGUCUUUCUCUUUCUACACCUCCAGUCACUUAUUUCUGUUCCUGCUGGUGGCAGUGAAGAGAGAGAUUCAUGCAGCUUUCCUUCACAUAAGGGGUUUUACUUCAGAAUACUCAUCGCUAGUAGCUGGAUUUCUGGAAGCUUCAGGGUCAGAGCCCAUGGGAGGGCCCUGAGUAGUGUGUUCAUGGGGCAGUAUAUUUUUGUGUAAAAUUUGUGAAAGUGAGAUAAUUUAGCUGCAGUUGGAGAGGGCCUCUGUCUCCCCCGUCUGACUCCCUCUGUCACCCUUCUCCUCUUGGGUAGCGUGGAAUGGCUAUAGCCUCUUUUGGGACAUGACUAGGGGGAAGCUGAGUUGAACUAUACUUAGUUUAGGAUAAUUGGGAUAGAUUGAUGUGGCUCACCGUUCCCCCUGGGGUUAGAUACACUUUCACUAGCCAUUCUGCUGGAACUGGCUUCCAGGGCUAUGCUUUCCAGUUUCCGCUUCCACUCACCUGUCACAGUAUGAAGAUGUGGGGACAGAAGUGCUGCAACGGUGAUACGAACAUGCCCUAUAGUGCCCGGCACCAGAAGUAUGUGGGCAGGAGAGGAAAAGCCGGGUUUGAGAAGUACGGUAACAAGAGCUGGUGUGUAGAAAAUUCUUCCUGUUAGCAGACGCGUAAAACCGCCUUCCAAAUUAUGUAAGCUUCAGGUCCCACAAAACCUGGAUCUGCUCCGCUGUGCUGUAAGAAUGAAACUGUGCAGCCAGGCCUCCUGGGAGCUCACAGAGAGCGGCGUUUCUGGGAUUCAGAGUUCGGACUGGAACUGCAGGUGCGGGUUCUGGCCCUGUUGUCAACCAAGCAACCUCUUUGCCUCAUGUUAAAAGUGCUCAAGAGUGGACCCUAUUGCUUCCUUUAACGACUGUCAAUCUGAGUGAGAAGAGCCCUGGGAUCAGCUAUCUCGAAGGCCUCCGUUGCUGCAUUAAACCAUUGGUCCUGGCAUCUGGCAUCCAUUCCCAGCCCAGUAUGCUGGAUUCCGCAGAAGGGAUCACUCAGAAGGGGGCCGUGGAUGCGGCCAGCCCUCUGAGGCUCAGUCCAUGCAGGCCGGGUUGCCACGAUCAGGACGCCAGAUCACGCUGUUCCUUGUGGAUCCCCGUCCCCACUCUUCCCUGGCUGGUUGCCAGAGUAUCCUGGCUUUGUCCUUUUCUUAGAGGUUCCAGGAAGAACUUGCCAGCCCCUUCUAUAUUCACGCUUCUGCAGCUAUUGAUCAAGUGGCAACAGACGGGGCGGAGGGGUAAGAUGAACUCCCUGAAUCCAAGUUCUCACAGAUCACAAACCUCGGUCUCUACUUUCUUACUGCUCCCCUCCCCAGCUUCCGAUUCUCUCCUUCUUGCUUGAUUUUUUUUUUCCUGAUUAUAAAUAUAGUACAUCUGUUGCUAAAAUUUCAAAUAAUGCAGAAACAAAUAAGGUAGAUAGUGAAUUUCCCAUGAAAUUUGCUCCCAGAGCUAUUCUUCCAGAUUUUAUACAGUGAACAGACUGACUUACAUUUUCUAUUAAAAAUAACGUAUUUGUAAUUUAUACAUUUCAAACUAAAAUUUCCCUUGGCAAUCAAUGUUUCCUCCCUGACAUGAUUACUGCUCCCAGCUUGGAGGGUAUCCUGGACAAUUAGCUAUGCACUUACAUACACAGUACAUGCAUGAACCUAAAGAAAUAUAAAGCUGUUUUGUGUGUUUCUAUGUAUCUUUUUAAAUUAAUUGAGAUAAAAAUCAUAUAACAUAAAAUUGACCAUUUAACCACUUAAAAGUGUGCGAUUCAGUGGCUUUUAGUACAUUCACAAUGGUGUACAACCACCACCACUACCUAAUUCCAAUUUCUAAUUUCAUCUAAUUUUAAUUCUAAUUUCAUCAUCCCCCAAAGAA